CUCAGCCACUGGACUGAGACUGGGAAGCCCUAACCUGGUCAGCUCAGAGAUCCAAUAUGUUGCAUGGCACUGGCACAAAAAUGCUGGGCAAAGAAGCGAGUCCAAGAAAAUACAAAGUCAAAGGACUCAGAAACCAACUGUGGUGCUAACAGAAGUGAGGAUGGAGUUGCACUGAUCUUUUACAAUGGAUACAAGAUAAAUUCAGAAGAAACCUGAAAAAAGCUGGGAAAAUACUUGUUUCACAUGGUUCCAUCAUGCUGCUGCUUGCCAUGGUGACUUCCUGGUAAAGUUCAUAUGCUUACAGAAAGUAUUCAGUGCUUUAUGAA